CCUACGGGGGGCAGCAGUGAGGAAUAUUGGUCAAUGGGCGAGAGCCUGAACCAGCCAAGUCGCGUGAAGGAUGACGGCCCUACGGGUUGUAAACUUCUUUUGUCAGGGAGCAAUUGAGUCCACGUGUGGGCUUAGCGAGAGUACCUGAAGAAAAAGCAUCGGCUAACUCCGUGCCAGCAGCCGCGGUAAUACGGAGGAUGCGAGCGUUAUCCGGAUUUAUUGGGUUUAAAGGGUGCGCAGGCGGCCUGUUAAGUCAGCGGUAAAAGCCCGGGGCUCAACCCCGGCGAGCCGUUGAAACUGGCGGGCUGGAGUUGGAGAGAAGUACGCGGAAUGCGCGGUGUAGCGGUGAAAUGCUUAGAUAUCAGGAGGAACAUCGGUGGCGUAAGCGCUUUACUGGGCCGUAAUUGACACUGAGGAACGAAAGCCGGGGUAGCAAAUGGGAUUAGAUACCCGAGUAGUC
rnacentral:rRNA from 1 species